GCUAUAUAUGUGAUUGGAUCAUGUGAUUUCCUACAUGGAAAUACUUUCAUGGAAUUGAUGAAGAUUCACUGAUAUUAACAAAGGGAAGGGUGAUUUCUAAUAAUUAAGAGGAGAUCUCAGGCUGAAUGUGCGCACAUGCAAGGCAGGUUUGCUUAAUUUGAGGAGAGCUGGAUGCUAGAAAAUGAGCCAAGUACUGUGUAUGUUCUCUUCAUUCCCUUCUCUUUUUAUCAUGUUAUCUCCUCCAAGCCCCAUCUUGAUUACUUUAAUUAAGCCCAUUCUAGCCUCCCUUGGACUCACCUUAGUCUGCUACUCCUGUGUACAUCUCUUCCAUUAUUAUCCUUUCCCUUCUGAGAUCAGACACAUAAUAAUGUAAGCUCUCUGAGGGAGAGACUGUCAUGUCUUGUGUUUCUAUAUACCACUUAGUACUGUACAGUGUUUGAAUUAAACAAAGAUACAGAGGUUAUAGGACUGUGUGGUAUUUUUUUUUUUAGUUUUGCUUUCCAUUAAAUGUCAACACAAUUAAUAUUUCCGAAAACAAAGCAUUUUGCUUAAUUGCAAAGCUACAAUGAGUGGUGGAUCACAAGCAUUGCAUGCAAAAGGUCCCAGGUCCAAUCUCCCACAUUUUCAGAUAAGGCUAAGAAAGACUCUGGAAACCCUGAAAAGCUGCUGCCAGCCAGUGUUGACAAUACUCAGCCAGAUGGACCAACAAUAUAAGGCAGUUACCUAUGUUCUUGUGACUUUUACAAUAGGAAUAGUGGUGAGGUGCAGAUUUAACUUCAUAUAAACGCAAAGUUUAGUGGACUGAGUAGGCAUAUCUCUACACAACGGAUUAGUUUGUACCUGGAACUAGCAGAACCAUGAGAUUUAUGCAUGCCCAGCCCCUGAAACUACAGUUACAAUUCCCAGGACAGGGUGGGGGAUGCUGUCACAGUUAAAAAGAUGUGAAGCAUACAGUGGUACCGGUUACGAACUUAAUUCGUUCUGGAGGUCUGUUCCUAAGCUGAAACCAUUCUUAUCAUGAGGCAUGCUUUCGCUAAUGGGGCCUCCCGCUGCUGCCGCGCUGCCAGCACACGACUUCCACUCGCAUCCCAGGGCAAAGUUCGCAACUAGGGGCAUCUACUUCCGGGUUAGCGGAGGUCAUUACCCGAAGCAUUCGUAAGGAGGACGGUACAUAACAUGAUGUUCCACUGUAUUUUGAAGGGCUAUUGUGUAUGGCUGUGUGUAUCUUAACUCUACAUAUUAAACGAAAUAAUACAAAAAUGUUUUCCUUUCUGUGCACUUGGAAUCUUUUCCAUUAGUCCUACUAGGUAUAUAUUUGUAGUGCAGAUAUUUCCUACUGGAUUAGGAUCAGAGUUACUCCACUCAGACAUAAAACAAAUCACUGUCUCCUAGCCUACUCUACUGCAAAGCGGUAAGAUGCGUGAGAAGGAGGAAAAUGUGACGAUCAAACUAGUGAGGCAGAUGCACCAAUCCUAUAUUUUGCAAACAUGCUUAUGCAUGCCAUUCUGCUUUGUUUCCAACUGGGUUUUAACAGCUCUGCCAAUCCUAUCCCAAAGGAUCAGAUAAAAAUGCCUGGCAGGUAUUCUGUGGAGUGGAGGAAAACAAUCCAUCAAUGAGAGCUGGAGAAGAGAGAUGAGAAGAAUCAGGCUGGAUUGAUGGGAGUGAUGGAACAUAGGACUCUUAAGUGGUUUUUGUUGUUGUUGUUGUUUAUACAAAAUGUCAGUUGUCUCAUUGCUCGGGUUGGGCUAGAUGACCCUCGUGGUCCCUUGCAGUUCUACUAUUCUAUUAUUCUAUGAUUCACAGUAUUUGUAGGCUGACCUAUAAUAAAGUUCUCUGGGCUGCCCAUAACCUAAAAACCCGAUUGUAAAUGAAAACAAAAGCAACAACAGGAGUCUAAAAACAGCUUAAAGCUGAAAAGGACUAAAAGGCCUAGUGUGAAAAAUAGUUUUCACUUGUUGCUGAAAUGUCACCAAAGUAGGUGUUAGGCAGGCCUCUCUGAAGAAGGCAUUCUAUAGCUGGGGCACCACCACUGAAAAGGCCUUCUCUCCCAUAGCUAGCAACUGCACCUUCCUUGGCAGGAGUUUUUGGAGAAAGAGCUUCCAAAGAAGGAUUGGUAUAUGUGUAUCCCUUCAGCUGCCUUGUCCAAAGUUGUGAAGGGCCUUAAAAGACCCCAAAGCAGCACCUUGAAUUGGAUCCGGAAUGGAUGCGAACCAGUGAAGAUGGCAAAAACGGUGGCAGAAUGUGCUCAUCAUCACCCACUCUCAGUUAACAGCCUCACAACCAGAUGCUUAAUAAACUGAAGUUUCUGAACUGGUUUUUUUCAAAGGCAGACCCAUGUGCAGCGCAUUACAGUAGUCCAAAGACAUGCAUACAGAAAGCUACCCAAUUAUGCUUUACCAUAACCCAGACUCUGCGACUGUCAUGCAGAGCAGCUAACCUAAACAAACCUUUCUCCGUCUUUUUUCUUGUUGAAAACUUGGCUGCAACCCCAGCUGACUUGCAUUGGUGCAGAACUCCCACACCCACCCUUGUAUGUUUUUGCAUGAAUGUGAUGGCAUUGCUCACCCUCCCUCUGUGUGUGUGUGUGUGUGUGUGUGUGUGUGUGUGCAUGCAUGCAAAAUAUAAAAAGGCCAACCCCAUUGUUUCUGCUGCGGCCUGCCUGAUCUCGUCCACCCCCACCUCCCAAGUACUGUGAAGCUCUUCUUUUUCCCAUGGGUCUGUUCCAUCCUCCCUUGCCUGCGUUUGUGCUUUUUAUUCCUAGAGCAUGUUGUGAAGAGGAAUGGGGGGGGGGGCAGUAAAAUGUUUCUCCUGCUAGUGCGUAAUUUUACCACGGUGCCUAAGUGAGGGACAGAAGUAAAUUGACCUUUUAACCCUUUUUCCUACCAAGGGAUUAGAGCCUGUUUCCUGUUAAAUCUCUUCAAGAACCAGUUCUAUCCUGUUUGAGAGGGGAAUGCAUCUUGUGUAUGGUGGGGGGCAAGGGGGGGGAGGAAAGAGAUUGUUAUUUAACCUUCUUUAUCCUCUCUCCCUUCCUAUAUUUAUUUCUCUUCUCCCCUUUUCUGGAAUUGCAGCUUUGAUUUGCAAAUAAUAACAUUCGUGUGUGUGUGUGUGUGUGUGUGUGUGUGUGUGUGUGUUUGUAGGUUGACUGGUAUAUUUUAGGUGGCAGUUGCAUGCCGCUGCUAAAUUGUUCUGGCUUCAACUCUUGCCCAGGGAAAGGGGAGGCGCAAAGUGGAAAAUUGCUAACAGGAAAGAGCCGGAAGGCGGAGGGUGAUAAAUAUUGAAAGGGUGGGAUUUAGAUCUCUGCUCAAACAGCUGCGGUGGCUAGAGUGUCACACUGUCUCUCCACAGGUUUACUGACCCAUUUCCAUUCACACGGCUGCCAGUAUCUUAGCAACUGCAACCGUCCCCCAAGAUAAGGCGCUUUGCCUGCCAUUAGUGACUGUGCAACUGUGUCAAGGUUAGCCUGCACCCUAAAAGCCGAACCGCCUUUGCAUGCCCCCCUUCACUUUCCCCCAAGGAGCCGGUGCAGACUUCUUGCACGCACGUGUGUGUAUGCAGACAAAGGCAAUGUCUUGUACAUUCAGCAGGAUGUUGUGACCAAAUCCUAAAGUGGUAGAGGCAACUGUGCUGCUCAGGUGAGGGUCACAUGUUGAAACAAUUCCCUGAAAAUCAAAAUCCCUGCUGUUAGUGUCUCUCUCUCUCUCUCUCUCUCUCUCUCUCUCUCUCUCUCUCUGUGUGUGUGUGUGUGAAUCCCUGCAAAUAAGCAACCAGUAUAAUGGUGAGUGAGAUUCUUGCCCAGCUCUGUGCCUGCUGUGCUGCUUUUCUGUUUGUGUGUGGUGGUGUGUUGUUUUUAACAUCCCUGAGAUUUCAGAAAUGACAUUCCCCACCUGCACAUCGAUUGUGCAUUCUCCUAUUUGGUCCUGCUGCAUGUGAACACCAGGGCCCCCUGUAUUGUGCGGGAUGGGAGAGGGAGAGGGAGAGACCGACAGCUCCCCUGGUUUUCUGUCAUUGUGCUUCCUGGAUCAUGAACGGCCUUUGUGUGGAAAACUAUAUUCACCCAUCAGUGUAGCAAUCCAGGGACAUGCACUUGUGUUCUCUUUGGUUGCAACCCUAGCAUGAGGCAAGACCGAAAUAGCUACUUUUAGGUCUGGGUAGGGGUACUGUAUAGGAUUGGUGGUUCUCUCUCUCCCCUCCUCCCCCCACUUCAUACGGGGUCAAGUUUGACAGGUGGGUGGGAUCACCUGCCUGUCAAUCACUUGAAAUCACAAUGAUGCCAGGUGACUUGAUGUCAGGUGCAGAGCAAAGCAGGCUUGGCUUACCCAAAACAGCCUUGUGGGCAGAAUGUGGAGGACUUAUGGGACUGGUGAGGCCUAUGGGUCAGAGGUUCCUGACCCCUGUUUUAGGUGGUAGAAUGCAGUUGCUGUGAAAGUUGGCAGAGAUGGAAACUGAUGAAUCAUGAGACACAACCCACCAUAAAGCGGGUCCUGUAAAUGCCUCAUCGAAAUCAGCGGGACCCUCAGGUGGAAACAAAUCCUUUUCCUUCCCAGGAGGCUUCUGCAAGAGAACCUCUAGAUGGAUUGUGCCCCAUUUUGUUUAUUUUUUAAAAAAUAUACCCUGCUUUAC